rnacentral:tRNA from 2 species
UGCCGCCUGGCGAAAUGGAAUCGCGUGAGACUUCUAAUCUUAAGAUUGCAGGUGAGUCCUGCGGUGGCUA